CAGAACUGAGCCCAAAAUGGCGGCCGCCUCCUCCAUGCUCACCGCCGCGUCGCUCUCCUUCUCCGCGCUCCCGUCAUCGCGCCUCCGUGCCGCUCCUCCCGCCGCCGCCUCCUUCGCCGCGGCGCCGCGUCGCGCGGCUGCCGCACCCGUCGUCGUGCGCGCGGCGGCCGCCUCGUCCAAGGCCACGGCUGCGGCGGAGGCGGCCCCGAAGAAGAAGAGGGCGACCGGCAUCACCCAGCCGAAGCCCGUCUCGCCGGCGCUGCAGGCAAUCGUGGGCGUCCCG
rnacentral:lncRNA from 1 species